CACCAUUCAAGCCUGGCUUGGUGUUGGGCGACGUCCCCUUCGGGGACACGCUUUGAAACGCUCGGCGGCGUGGCAUCGGCUUUAAGCGUAGCAGAAUCUUUCGCUUUGAAAGUCGGGGCCCCGUCUGCCGGAAGACCUACUCAA
rnacentral:misc_RNA from 1 species